rnacentral:other from 1 species
CAAAUUCUGGCCCUCUUGUUAUUGGACUAAAUCCUAGUGGCCUUAAAUUCUCGAAAGGGAGCUGGCUCUGGGUCGGGCUCUGGCCCGUCCUACCUGGCGCCCACCUGGUCAAUCAGGCUCUCGAGGAAAAGUUUCCGAAACGGUUGGUUGGAUUUGCU